GCAGGAAAUAAAUCCAAAAAUCUGCGUGCAGAGAGAUAGAGCGCUAAGCAAGGACAUCUUUGCGAACUAGAUAAAAAGUUCGUAAGGAUCUUACAGAUUGUUGCUGCUGUUGGUAGCAGCAGCACACUGCAGGCAUAGUGUUUUCCAGCUUAUGGUAAAACUAUUCUCGGUGUAACGCGUGUGCUUGGAAAACGAAACCGGUCGUGGUUGUGUGAUCUAACGAUCGAACACG